AGGCCCUCUCCAGGGAAGACAGGGACAGACCUUCCAAUGGGCCUCAUGCGUGGCACUUGGCCCCUGAUCUGUAGAAAAGACUUGGCUUUCCAGAACCCCCAUAUUCAUGAUCCCAGGACCCAUGUUAACCAGGGAGGAGACGGACAGGGCACCAGCAGGCAUGGUGGGAGAGCCCAGCCCUGGACAAGGCACAAGGUCCAGAGAGCUCCAGGCCAGGGCUCUGGCACAGGCAGACAGGGGGAAGGGCCGUCACCCCCUCCUUCUCAGGCAGCCUGUCCCAUCUGAACCCAUAUGAGGAAGACAAAAAAAAAAAGGAGGAUGCAGAUGACCAAACACCUGGUUUUGCCUGAGGGGUCAAGGGCAGGACACAUCUCAGGGCCUCCCAGGCUGGAAGCCCAAAGGUCUUCAGUCACACCCCCCCCCCUCCCCCUGGGCAUGGUGGGGAAGGGGCUGGGGUGGCCAGGCUGAAGGGACUUUGGUGAAGCCUGGCGGGUUGCCGGGGCUGGGCUCAAGAGGGCAGGCGACACAGCGGGUCGGAAAGACCACUCUGAGCAAAGGCCGUGGCUGGGAGGGAAGCGAGAAAAUUGAGUUCAUGGAACUUAAUCUGUUUUUCCACGAUUAGCUGGGGUUUGACGUCACAGAUGGAAUUGAGGAGCGAGGCUGUGCGGAGACAAGGGGGAUGGGAUCUGUCCAAACGCAAUUCAGCUGCAUUCUGGCCAUUAGGUCUGGGAGCAACUCUGAGCCAGGCCGUCGGAGCCUGCCUAGACAUUUGUGACCGUGUGGAGGACGGCUGGCAGCCUCAGAGCAUCUGGAGCACCCCUUCUGGUUACCCUGGGUCUCUCCCCCACAUCCUCCAGGAAAGCCCCCUUUCCUCUGCUCUCGGCUUCCCAAGUCUGCUGGCCCCUAAUCAGGGGCAGAAGCAGAUCGAUCCUCCAAGGUGGAAAAGACAAGUGUGCCCCACUUUUGGAAGGAACCAAGAAUUUAAAGUGGUGUGUCCAAGGCCUGAGACAUUUAUUGAUGGAUUUAUGGUGGCUGCAUCAGAAUCCAGAUACAACGUAAGCCAACAGGAUAGCUUUAACACUUGUUUACAAAGAUGCAUGAUUUAGAGAGGUGCUUUUAUUUUGUCUUUUGGAUUACUUUGUAGUGAAUGCAAACCUUGCAGCCGAGGGAAAACCCACAUAAACUCCAUCUGAGAGUGAUCACUGGGUUUCAAUUUAAUGUUUCUGACCGAUCCUGGAAAUAAAGGUUGGUAUUUCUUUCAAAAUACAGACUCCCUGGUUCCGUCCCAAAUCUUAACUGCAUUGCUGAGGGAGGAUAAUUUGGAUGAUUUAUUGAGGAUCAAAUCUCAACUUUGUAACCUGGCAGGUAAGUUCCUUAAAUCCAAGUCUCAAUAAGCCCCUCCAACCUCCCCCCUCAGCAAGAAGUGUUUUAUUUUAAUUUUGUAAACAUUUUUAUUCAUUUUUGAGAGACAGA